rnacentral:tRNA from 1 species
UCCCCGAUAGCUCAAUUGGUAGAGCAUGCGGCUGUUAACCGCAGUGUUGUAGGUUCGAGUCCUACUCGGGGAGCCA